UGGAGAAGUACAGGAGCUGCUAUUAACACACUUUCCAAAAAGUUGCCCAUGUCCUAUGGGUUGGAGAGGAGGCAGCAGCCCAAGCCGUGUAGCAGGGGGGGUUCUCUGUAAAAAGAAACAAUCUAAUGGCUUUAAAUUAUCCCUUUUGGGCAGAAGGGAGUGAAUGGCAUGUCUCAGUGGAAAUUUCAGUACUGAUUUUAGCCCAGACACUCUUACACAGCCACUGUCAUGGGGUAUGUCCAUUGGCACCAGAACAGUAAAUUUUAGGAUGCUUUCAUGAUCAGCACCCUCACAGGUUCUGGGGCUGCUGGCAGGGCAGCCAAAGCAGCCCCCUUGUCCUGAUAAGGUGGGUUUAUGCCCAUGUGUCCAGAGGAAAGGCUUUUGAGCUUUGCCAGAUGCAAAGAAGGUGUCAGGUUUAUAGCUGUGAAAUCUUUCCAGUGAACCAAGGAAGUUUCCUAAACACUAAAAUAAUAUUUUAUUUCUUUUUUGAGUCCUUGGGAAUUGAUAUUUUCUCUCUUUUUCUCUGAGUGGAAAUGUCAUCUAUUAGAAAAAUAAGACUGCCACAAGCCCACUUCCCCUCCAUUAGAUGCCAGCAAUUGUGUGCCUCUCAUUACAUGUCAGACAUGUACAUCAGGAAACUGGAGCUGUAAAGCAAAAGUUGGGAACAAGUAUCUGUAUUGGUUGCUCUAGAUUCUGCCUGGUUCCUGAAGGAAAAUAUCAUCUUGAGGCUGCAUGCACAGCUCCCUUCCCUGGACUCAUGUCAGCCUGAGCAAACUGUGUGUGUGUUAUCCCUGGUCUGCUGGAUUGAAGACUUCCUCCAUGCAGCCUGGAAGAGAAGAAACAAUUGUGAUAUGUCAUGGCCUGUGUAAAAUCAAAGAGAAAAAAGGAUACAUAACUCCAAACUUAAUUCCAGCUUCUGUUAAAUCAGAAUGGCCCCACUGUGUGAUUACUUGAUAUUUGACUACAGUGCUUUAACAUAACUUCCCAGUGUCAUCUGUUACAGUUCUAACACUCAGGCAAUUUUUGAACAAUAGUGAUGGGGUGUGAUUUGGCAGUGACAACCUCAGGAAGCCAUAUAUUUCCCCUUGACACAGUAUUAUCUAAUAUACUAGCUAUCUCAGGUUACAGCAGCUCUGAAACCCAACAGAG
rnacentral:lncRNA from 1 species